CGUAACGCGUGCGGUAGCCUAGCCGUAUCAAGUCGAGGGGUAACAGGAGAUAGCUUGCUAUCUUGCUGACGACGAACGGGUGAGUAACGCGUAGGAAUCUGCCUCAAAGCAGGGAUAGCCCGGGGAAACUCGGAUUAAUACCGUAUAUGUUCUAAGGAAUAAAGAUGCCUUUUGGUGUCGCUUUGAGAUGAGCCUGCGUCCGAUUAGCUUGUUGGUAAGGUAAAAGCUUACCAAGGCGACGAUCGGUAGCUGGUCUGAGAGGACGUACAGCCACACUGGGACUGAGACACGGUCCAGACUCCUACGGGAGGCAGCAGUGGGGAAUAUUGCGCAAUGGGGGCAACCCUGACGCAGCCAUACCGCGUGGAUGAAGAAUGCCUUAGGGUCGUAAAGUCCUUUCAGCAAAGGAAAGAAAUCUUGGCAUUAAUAGUGUCGGGACUUGAUGUUACUUGCAGAAGAAGCACCGGAUAACUCCGUGCCAGCAGCCGCGGUAAUACCGACGGUGCAGCGUUAUCGAAUCCUGGGCGUACGAAGAUGUAGCGGCAGGAAGUGGAGU
rnacentral:rRNA from 1 species